rnacentral:rRNA from 1 species
CAAAGCUUGCACUUGAUUCGAGCGCGUUGCCUGCCUGCCCGCCGACGAUUAGAGUUUGAUCCUGGCUCAUAUUGAAGGCUGGCGGCAUGCCUUACACAUGCAAGUCGAGCGGCAGCGCGGGGGCAACCCUGGCGGCGAGCGGCGGACGGGUGAGUAAUACAUCGGAACGUGUCCUUUUGUGGGGGAUAACCAGUCGAAAGACUGGCUAAUACCGCAUGAGAUCUCACGAUGAAAGCGGGGGACCCGCAAGGGCCUCGCGCAAUUGGAGCGGCCGAUAUCGGAUUAGCUAGUUGGCGGGGUAACGGCCCACCAAGGCGACGAUCCGUAGCUGGUCUGAGAGGACGACCAGCCACACUGGAACUGAGACACGGUCCAGACUCCUACGGGAGGCAGCAGUGGGGAAUUUUGGACAAUGGGCGCAAGCCUGAUCCAGCCAUGCCGCGUGAGUGAAGAAGGCCUUCGGGUUGUAAAGCUCUUUCGGCGGGGACGAAACGGUUCGUGCCAACACCGCGGACUAAUGACGGUACCCGCAGAAGAAACACCGGCUAACUACGUGCCAGCAGCCGCGGUAAUACGUAGGGUGCAGGCGUUAAUCGGAAUUACUGGGCGUAAAGCGUGCGCAGGCGGUUUGUUAAGACAGGUGUGAAAUCCCCGGGCUUAACCUGGGAACUGCGCUUGUUACUGGCAGACUGGAGUGUGGCAGAGGGGGGUGGAAUUCCACGUGUAGCAGUGAAAUGCGUAGAGAUGUGGAGGAACACCGAUGGCGAAGGCAGCCCCCUGGGCUAACACUGACGCUCAUGCACGAAAGCGUGGGGAGCAAACAGGAUUAGAUACCCUGGUAGUCCACGCCCUAAACUAUGUCAACUGGUUGUCGGGGAAGCAAUUCCUUGGUAACGAAGCUAACGCGUGAAGUUGACCGCCUGGGGAGUACGGCCGCAAGGUUAAAACUCAAAGGAAUUGACGG